UACGUUGAAACACCGGUUACCGUAUGACCAGCGAAGUUAAGCAACGUCGUGGCUGGUCAGUACCUAGAUGGGUGACCACUUAGGAAUAUCAGGUGAUGUA